rnacentral:lncRNA from 1 species
AACGGCGCCUUAAAGAACGCACACAAUUGUCUAGUGAGUACAUGGUUAUAGGCAUGCGUGGUUCGGUGAUAAGGACAUCACUGGCGAAAACGGCGCCUUAAAGAACGCACGCAAUUGUCUAUUGAUAAAAUCAUUGUAGGCAUGUGUGGUUCGGUGAUUUGGGAUAUCACUGGCGAAAACGGCGCCUUAAAGAACGCACACAGUUGUCUAGUGGAUACGUCACCUUGGCGAAGUUGACGCCCGAG